rnacentral:rRNA from 2 species
UACGUAGGGUGCGAGCGUUGUCCGGAAUUAUUGGGCGUAAAGAGCUUGUAGGCGGCUUGUCGCGUCUGCUGUGAAAGCCCGGGGCUUAACCCCGGGUCUGCAGUGGGUACGGGCAGGCUAGAGUGUGGUAGGGGAGACUGGAAUUCCUGGUGUAGCGGUGGAAUGCGCAGAUAUCAGGAGGAACACCGAUGGCGAAGGCAGGUCUCUGGGCCAUUACUGACGCUGAGAAGCGAAAGCGUGGGGAGCGAACAGG